CCUACGGGAGGCAGCAGUGAGGAAUAUUGGUCAAUGGGCGCGAGCCUGAACCAGCCAAAUAGCGUGAAGGAUGACUGUCCUACGGGUUGUAAACUUCUUUUAUAAAGGAAUAAAGUGAGGCACGUGUGCCUUUUUGUAUGUACUUUAUGAAUAAGGAUCGGCUAACUCCGUGCCAUCAGCCCUGGUAAUACGGAGGAUCCGAGCCUUAUCCGGAUUUAUUGGGUUUAAAGGGAGCGUAGAUGGGUUGUUAAGUUAUGUGUGAAAGUUUGGGGCUCAACCGUAAAAUUGCACUUGAUACUGGCAGUCUAGAGUACAGUUGAGGUAGGCGGAAUUCGUGGUGUAGCGGUGAAAUGCUUAGAUAUCACGAAGAACACCGAUUGCGAAGGCAGCUUACUAAACUGACACUGACAUUGAUGCUCGAAAGUGUGGGGAUCAAACAGGAUUAGAUACCCGGGUAGUC
rnacentral:rRNA from 1 species